rnacentral:rRNA from 1 species
CAGCAGCCACGGUAAUACAGAGGUCCCGAGCGUUGUUCGGAUUCACUGGGCGUAAAGGGUGUGUAGGAGGUUGGAUAAGUCAGGUGUGAAAUCCCGCAGCUCAACUGCGGAACUGCAUUCGAUACUGUUCAACUAGAGGAUCGGAGGGGGAAGCGGAAUUCUUGGUGUAGCGGUGAAAUGCGUAGAUAUCAAGAGGAACACCGGUGGCGAAGGCGGCUUCCUGGAAGAUACCUGACUCUGAAACACGAAAGCCAGGGGAGCGAAUGGGAUUAGAGACCCCGGUAGUCCCUGUCUCUUAUAC